AUCAGACGAAGGACAAAAGGCAGAUGGCUCUAUAAAGGCGGGAGGUGAAGACGCAGAGUGAUCAAGAAUGAAUGCAAUUCAUUUGGAUAGACAGCAGCUGAUUUGUUAUUCAACCUUAGAAGUUGCCUCCUGAAUUCUAGGGUUCUCUUUCCUAGUUUAAAUUCCUGUCCAGAAUUCUGUUGUUUAUUGUUGGGGAAAAGGUAAAGGUAGGGAUGAAAUGCGCCAAAAAACGAAAGAUAGGGACGUUUUCCACAAAAAUCAUGAAAGGUAUGGACGUUUUGUGCUAAUUACCCUUUAUUGUUGUUAUUAUGUGUUCGUCAUUGUUGUGAUAGUUAUUUCACUUGGACAUCGACUCUACCAUCCAAUGCCAAACUGUAUCUUCUAUUUGAUGUUGCUGUGACGUCGUUA